UACGUAUGGUGCAAGCGUUGUCCGGAUUUACUGGGUGUAAAGGGCGUGUAGCCGGGCUGACAAGUCAGAUGUGAAAUCCGGGGGCUCAACCCCCGAACUGCAUUUGAAACUGUUGGUCUUGAGUAUCGGAGAGGCAGGCGGAAUUCCUAGUGUAGCGGUGAAAUGCGUAGAUAUUAGGAGGAACACCAGUGGCGAAGGCGGCCUGCUGGACGACAACUGACGGUGAGGCGCGAAAGCGUGGGGAGCAAACAGG
rnacentral:rRNA from 1 species